GCCUCGCUAGUGUUGAUAAGAGCACGGUCCCCGGAAAGGACAAGUACGGGUUCAAGUCCCGUAUGAGGCU
rnacentral:tRNA from 1 species